GUGUCAGCCGCCGCGGUAAUACGUAGGUGGCAAGCGUUGUCCGGAAUUACUGGGUGUAAAGGGCGUGUAGGCGGGUUAUUAAGUCAGAUGUGAAAUUCCAGGGCUCAACCCUGGAGCUGCAUCUGAAACUGAUGAUCUUGAGUACUGGAGAGGGAAGCGGAAUUCCUAGUGUAGCGGUGAAAUGCGUAGAUAUUAGGAGGAACACCAGUGGCGAAGGCGGCUUUCUGGACAGUAACUGACGCUGAGGCGCGAAAGCGUGGGGAGCGAACAGGAUUAGAAACCCCGGUAGUCC
rnacentral:rRNA from 1 species